UUUCGUGAACUGGCGUUUCCUCUAAUGACCGUCUCGUUAGUUUUUCCAUUUUUACCGGUAUGUUCAAAGGCAGGGCAGGUUCAAAUUUAUAGGCUCGCACAUCGGUUGCUUAUUUUGUACUAAAACCACUUUAUUGCGAUUCGAAAUUGAGCAUUGUUUAACUUGGAGUGUAAGCCCGAAAGCUGGGUUUCAGUCGUGAGCUAUAUGGAACACGUCUGCAUCGAAAUGGGGGCCGGAUCCUGAUUCGACUGGGGACAGCAAUACCGACAUGCAGCAAUGAGGAUGGCACCAUACUACACAUGCUAUAGAGAAGCUGCUGCCUGCUACAACAAGGUCAUUGUGUGGACAUUGGCUGCUACUACAAGGUCAACAACAUCGGGCUCAGGAACAAAUGUGCUUGAUAUAUGCUGUAUUGGCUUGCUAGUUUUGAGAUGCAUGUCAUUUGUUUGUAGCAGAUGAUACGAAGAUUUGUUCAUAUUUACAGUGCAGCAUAAUUAGUUCGAACAUAAAAGAAAACACUACAGGAGUUUGGAUAAUCUCAGCUGCAUCUCAUGUGUCACAGUUCUGCCCAAAUAGAGUCUGUGAUGACCAAGCACAUCUUGGUCAUCACAGGAGCCCCCUUGUACACCAACAGGAAGGGGUUUCGAGCCGAAUUUGCAAGGCUUGACACCAUGAACAAAGAAGCCGUUCCAGAAGUAUUUGGAUGCAAUGUCAAGUCUACGGAUGACUGUCUAGAGUGAAAAGAGCCUCCACCAUCAUUCCACCCGCACAUUAUUGGCCGAGUCAUCCAGGUACCUCAACAACAAAAAAUUCUGUGUCUUCAGAUGUACCUGCAACCUCUCAAAAAGCACAGACGAUGAUGGCCAAAAGAGUUCCGUCAGCUUGCCCUUCCUUAAUAAGCUUCCUGGCCUUGUCGAAUUCCAUUUGUGCCCAGUUCAAGUUUUUCUCAACGAAUGCAAGCUUUUCCAUUCCACAUUAUUGUUAGAGAUCAUUCCUUUUCCUCAUUAAAACAUUAAAGGUCAACCAAUUCUUUGCUCAUACUUAAUACCAGUCACUGUCCAGAAGCAUAACAUAUCUGUAGCAGCAUUUUAUAGUGUACGUUGCCAUGUGCAAUUCCUCCCCCGAAGUAGCUGAUGCGGCAUUGGCAUGUGUCUUGCAUUAACCUUUGCACCGUGCGCUAUGUAGCACUUAACUUUUCUUAAUGUUUUUGGCUUUCAGUGCUUGCAAGGUACAGUGGCUUCUUUCUUGAAUGCAAGCUUUCUCAUUCCCAUAUUUAAUUCCUAGUCUCAUUCUGGAUUGCUAUUCUUGCUCGACAGCCUGUGUUUUUGCGCAAGCUACAUUGAAGUGAUUGAUUGCAGAAUCUGGUUUCGCUGUUGUCUGACUUGGUACUCAUCACCGUGUUACGUUGUGCGUAUGUGGGAGCCUGGUGAAUUGCACUGGGAAACAAUCUCGAGGCAAGCACCUGCUCCUGCAGUCAGCACAGUGACAGACUCCGAAUUUACACACACCGUGACUGGUGCUUUCCGUUCUGUCCUUUCCUGCUGCUGCCGUGUGCAAAUUUCACUUGUGGCCUUCCUCGGCCAUGAUUUGGCGUCAACGAAGACUAUCAUACAUGAUUACAUGGUUCAAAGUAUAUGAAGUUGAUAUCUACAUGGGUGGAAAGGCCUGCAAAAGUGGCUGCAAAAUGGUGACGCCCACAAAACCGACCAUGCCCAUAUUGAGAGAAUGUGGGACACCAAGUGCGAGUUACACAUUAGCGGCAUGCGAAAGAACAAAAAUAAAUGUGCAGGUUGGAAAAGAGGUAACGCUAAAAUGCCGGGUACUCCAUGUCGCCGUGUUGGCUGCGGCAGCAGAUGCCUGCGUCACCCGAUUGCUUCGCAAUGCGAGUUGCUCAUCUUCAACGGCGACUGUUGAUGCAACCAGGUGUGACACACUGUCCAAUCCUACGGCAUAAGCUUAUCACCCGGAACCCCCUGCUUUGAAGAUCGUAAAUUUAAAUUCCAGAAGCUGGGGAACAAGGCUGAUGCUUUGGAAUGUGCUGUUUUGGAACAUUACCCAGACAUCAUGGUCAUUACAGAAACAUGGUUACACACGGACAUAUGCGAUGCGGAAAUAACACCUUCUGGGUACAUAGUACAAAGAAAAGAUCGAGGGAGAAGCGGUGGGGGUGUUGCCAUUAUGAUUAAAAGCAACAUUUCAUUCACGAUUCUGCCAAUCGCGAGUGAUAUUGAAGCAGUCUGGAUUAAAACUAACUUAGGCAGUCGUACAGUUUUCAUAGGUGAUGUGUACCCCCCCCCCCCGCCCCCACCCCCGGUUGCCCCAUAAAUGCGGUGUUUCCACUUAGGAACUUCAUAGAUGGGAAUCUGCACCAAGGUGAUAACAUUCUGAUCCUUACCAGGGAUUGAUUGGCUGUCCCAUUUUCCUGGACCCGUAGAAGUCGCCAGUUGUGAACAGCUACUAGAGCUUGCGUUUUGUUACGAGCUAACCUAGGUUGUAACGGAUUACACACGAGUAUUCGGAACAACAUCCUCUAUUAUUUAUUUGAUUUUUGUAUGACCAGGCUUGAUAUCUUCUCUUGUUUGCUGUGAAGUUGCAGAGGGUCUAUGCGACCAUAAUAUGGUUAUGUUAUCUUUAAACGUUACUGCAGACAUACCUAGUACUCAUUCAAAGAAGUUCAUUCUAGAUUUUCAAGCUGCUGAUGACGUCGGUGCACUUGACUUCUUAGAACAGUCCCUUGACCAGUUUUUAAUGCAUUACCAUUCCGGAGCCAGUACAGACCUAUUGUGCAACACUUUUUCGAACAUUGUACGACAGUGCAUCGAACGUUUUGUCCUCAAACGCCACAAAAUUGUCAGGAAGAAAACUCCUUGGAUGACGAGGGAAAUUAUACAUAUUAAAAGGAAUCGAAAAGUCCCAUUUGCAAAAUCCCACUUCACAAUAUAAGGAAACCAUUCAACAACUAAGUAAACAGUUAAAACAACUAGUUCGGGAGAGCAAGGACAGGUUUUAUAGCAUCACACUUUAAAAAUUUCUUGCAGAAGACACCGGAAAAUUUUGGUGCUAUGUUAAUCUUAAGGGUAAGCGACCACACGUGAAUGCGAGCCAAAAAAACGACAAACAGGUUGACAGCUUUAGUGAUUUUUUCUCGUCUUUUCUUACGCGAGAUAACGGUAGGGCUUCGCACUUUGUAGAUACUUCCGAUAGGGUCCAAAUAGAGGAUAUAUUAAUUAGUGAAGAAGGAAUUCUUAACUUGCUCCUCAGCAUAAAUAUAUAGAAAUCACCGGGACCAGAUGAAAUACCCAAUGAAUUCUUAUACAGGUAUGCGGAGUGGGUUUCAAAAUAUCUUGCCAUUAUAUUUCACUCAUCUAUUACUACCGGCUGUUUCCCCAGUCCUUGGAAGCAUGCCAAAAUCAUACCCCUACACAAAGGCGGCGCAACAGCAGAUGUUAGCAACUACCGGCCAAUUUCCCUUACCAGGGCAUGUUCAAAAUUACUGGAGCAUAUUGUAUCAAAACAUUUAAUUAUAUACCUGGAUUGCCAUAAGGUAUUAUACAGCCGUCAACAUGGGUUCAGAAGAAAACUCUCCACGACAAUUCAACUUAUAGAAAUUGUACAUGACCUGUCUCAAACCAUUAAUUCGCGUGGCCAAACCGACAUAAUGUACCUAGACUUUGCAAAGGCGUUGAUAAAGUUUCUCAUCUUAAGUUAUUACACAAAAUAGACGCCAUAUUUAAAAAUCCCGCAAUCAAGAAAUGGCUCACGUCUUACCUUCAUUGCAGAGAACAGUAUGUUCAAAUGGAAACUGCCAGUCUGUACCCUCACUUGUAGAGUCUGGUGUACCUCAGGGUACGGUACUAGGACCACUCUUAUUUCUGGUAUUUACCUAUUAAAGAUAUGCCUGCUGACAUCACUGUACCGUUGCGCUUGUUAGCCGAUGACUGUGUCAUUUAUAACAAAAUUCAAUCGAGACAAGACCAAGCAGAACUUAACUCAAAUCUACAGAAAAUUAAAAAAUGGUGUGGCGAUUGGCAAAUGGCUCUAAACCCGCAAAAAUCAGUCUCUAUGUCUAUUUCACGCAAAAAGCAUACCCUUAGUUACUCAUACUACAUUGAUCACAACAAACUCAAGAACGUUGAAAAACACAAAUACUUGGUUUUAACUUUUACAUCAGAUUUACACUGGAAUACACACACAGAAAAUGUGGGCAUCAAAUCGUUUAAAGCCCUGUGGUCUUUGAGGCGGAACCUCAAUCGGGCAAACCCUGAAGUUAAAUGUCUUGCUUACAAAACUCGUUAGACCAAUUAUUGAAUAUGCUACAAUUGUUUGGGUCCCACACACCAUAGCUAACUGUUCUAAACUUGACCGAAUCGUAGCUGCCAGGUUUAUAUUUAAUAAAUAUUGUCGCAUCAAUUCUCCAACAGAGUUAUGUCAAUUAGCUGAUCUAACACCACUUGAGUUCAGAACUAAAUACGACAGAUUAAAAUUCCUCUUCGAAGUUAUUCAUAAUCAAGUAGAUAUUAAACCUGAUGAUUAUUUUGAGCUUCCUAUGAUCGCGUCAACGAGGCAUCAUCAUAGUAUGUACAUUCCUCCUCCACUCGCCCACAAUGACUGCUUCAAGUUCAGUUUCUUUCCUAGGGUGAUAAGAGAAUGGAAUUUGUUACCCGACUCUCUUGUAACCUCAAUAUCCUUAACUGCCUUUUUGAAAAGUCUUAAAAGCACAAUUUUUUGUAAUAACGUGUAGUGAAUUGCCCAAUAUGUAUGCAUUUACUUUUACAUAUGCGACUCUUAUUGCGUCUAUGACGAUGCGGUGCCAAACUGUGAAUGGUUUCUUUAUUACUUUUCCUUGUGUGUUGUAUUUCAUAUGUAUUUUCCACUGCAAGACAACCUUUGUGAGUCAAAGCUUGUAACUCGGUCGCAUUCUGUGUUUCUUUUUGUUGUUUUUAUUCUCCACUCCUGCAAUACCCCUAAGAGGGCUGACAGUAUGUGAUGACCCUAAUAUGGGGGCAAAGGUUCGUGUACUCAAAAGGUUCUGAUGGUUCUCUUAGGCGGAGCCUCCGAGAAACCAAUUGAGGACAAAGCCGUUCGUUUCGAACACACAUGCACAAAGACUUUUGAUCAAACUAAAAAGAGGCAUAAAGUAAAUAGAUGGAAAGAGAAAGCAUGCAUAACAUAAAUACUCAAGCGGACAUUGCGGCAAGGAACACACACGGCGCUUGCAUGAGGUUAACUAGUGCGCAAGCCCGGGCUUGCCACGACGGCAGGGAUACAUAACAGCCUCGAAGCUGCGACGCUGCGACAAGCUGGUGAAAGGAGUGGCGCCGGUCUCACCAAAGGUCGUGGUAUUAGCUGGUUGACCGGGCGACCGGGGCUGGCCAGCUCUGGCUUGGAGAGGUAAAGCAGGCGGCUGGUGGCACGAGCAGACGGCGGCGGCGUUCUGGCCGGGCAGCUGGGUGUAGAGCUCGGGCCCGUAGCCCGACUGCUCUUGUCCUGCCCACGGGCACAGAAGCUCGAACGCCAGCCUCGGGCAGCAGGCGGCACGACAGGCGGGGGCGGCGUUCUGGCCGGGCAGCUGGCGUAGAACUCGGCCCGUAGCCCGACUGUUCUCGUGCUGCCCACGAGCGCAGAAGCUCUCCGGCCUUGAGGAGCUGGCGGCACGCUCAGGUAGAUGGGCGACGCACAGGAACAGGUUGGCAGGAGGCCCCAGUCGGGUGAAGUCCUGGUGGCUCGGGUCCGGAACCCGACGGCCCGUCUUCAACGCCCGCUCCGGUGGUUGACCUCCUCCUGCCGUCGCUUCCUGGGACUCUCCUGGCGUCUCCCCUGCAUCUCCCCCUGCGUCUCCCCUCUUCUGCCACUGCACCACGCUUUUUCUUCUCUCUGGCCGAUAAGGCAUUCUCGGAUUGGCUGCCUGACGCCCCCUGAUCUUUUCUAAUUGGUUGCUUUUCUUCUUUUUAUUGUUUUUCAUGCGCCGCGUGUUCUCGUGCCGGACUCUCUUCGGCGUCGUUGUUUUCCUUCUUCCAGCAUGGAAUCCGCCUCGGCGCGCGCACUCCUUGUCGUCUGCUCCUGUCCGUCCCGAUCACCGCACCAUGUCGCGCACCACACAUCACACAGUAUAAAUAAACGAAAUGAAAUGAAAAUCUACUUGCGCUGCUGGUUGUCGCUUGUUACCAGACCGCCAUGUGCAACGAAGGCAAGCACUAUGCCUGCAGUCAAACGGUUGAAUAUGCCGUAAGCGACCCAUGUGCGUGUAUGCUCACUGUUGUCUUGUGGAUCAUAGCCAUUGUAUAGUGUGUAGAGUCACUGUAUAGAUUGAGUGUUAUGUUAGAGGUAUGCUGAAGUGAUUUGAUUGCAGUGUCUUGUUUCAAUGCUGUCCCACUUGGUCUUGGUUGCCGUAUUACAUUUCUCGGGUGUGGUGGCUAGGUCGGUUGCAUUGGGCAACAGCCUCUCGAGGUAAGCACCUGCUCCUGUAGUCCGCACAGUGACAUAGACUCCCUGUUUACAUGUACCGUGAUUAGUGCUCUUUGUUCAUUCUUUCCUGCUGCAGCCGUGGGUAAAGUGUGCUUGUGGCCUUCUUCGGCCGUGAUUUAGCGAGAAUGGAGACUAGCAUACGUGCUUACAUUGUCUGAAGUGUAUAAAGUUGAUAUCCACAUGGGUGGAAAGGCCUGCAAAAGUGGCUGCAAAGUGACGAUUCCCACGAAACAGACCAUGUCUAUAUUGAGAGCAGGUGGAGCACCAAGUACGAGCUACGCAUUAGCGGCCACCAAAGGAAACGAGAAGGUUGGAGAGGAGGUAAUGCUAAAAUGCCGGGUAGUUCAUGUCGCUGUGUUGGCUAUGGCAGCGGAUGCCUGCGUCACCUGAUUGAUUCGCAAUGCAAGUUACGGCGACUGUUGAUGCAAACAGGUGGCACAAUGUCCAGUCUGCUUGCACUGCUGGUUGUCACUCGUUACUAGACCACCAUGUGCGACGAAGGCAAGCAUUAAGCCUGAAGUUGGAUGGCUGAAAGUGCUGUAAGCGACACGCAGUGCGUGGAUGCUCAUUGUUGUCAUGUGGAUCUUAGCCAAUGUACAGUGCAGUCUGAACCUUGUGCAGUGAUUGAAUGUCGAGUCUCAUUUGAUCAUGGUCACCGCGUCAUAUUUCUUGGAUGUGGCGACCUGGUCAGCUGCAUUGUGCAACAGUCUCUCGAGGUAACCAUCUGCUCCUGCAGUCCACACAGCGACUAAGACUCCCAAUUUACACGCACAGUAAUUGGUGCUCCCCGUCAUGUCCUUUCCUGCUGCAGCUGUGGGCAAAUUAUGCUUGUAGGCCUUCAUCGGCCACAAUUAGGCAUGAACAGAGACCAGCAUACGUGCUUACAUGGUGCGACGUGUAUGAAGUUGAUAGCCACAUGGGUGGAAAGGCCCGCAAAAGUGGCUGAUGAAGGUGAUGCCCACGAAAGCGACUUGUCCAUAUUUAGACAAAGUGGGACACCAAGUGUGAGCCACACAUUAGCGGCCCCUGAAAGAAAAGAAAUGUGCAGGUCAGAAAGGAGGCAACGCUAAAAUGCCGGGUAGUCCAAUUCGCUGUGCUGGCUGCGGCAGCAGAGGCCUGCAUCACCCGAUUGCUUCGCAAUGCAAUUACGGCGACUGUCGAUGCAAACAGGUGGGGCAUUGUACAAUUUGCUUGUGCUGCUGAUUGUGGCUCAUUACCAGAUCGCCACGUGCGAUGAUGAAAGUGAGCAGUUUACGAGCUCGCGAUAAUGGUUUCAGUGCAUCUCGACAUGCAAAUUUUAUUUCUGCACUUGUACGAGAAGGUGCACUGCUUUUCUUCUGCCACUAAAGUCAACCUCCUGUUAACUCACUUGUGGCUUGUUUGUAUUGGCUGGCAUCAGUAGAGGCUCUUUAGUCUCCUGGUAAUGAAAACGUGGCAGCCGAGGCAUGCCACAAAGCUAGCAAGGCGAGCUUCUAUUUUCCACUUUCUGUUUAAGUAGCGCCAUCUGUCAGGCGCCCCGCUAAGUUCCAUGUGCUGACGCUUUUUAUUUUCGUACUACUGUGGAAGGUACAGUUACCCUUCUCUAAUGUGGUUCCAUAGAGUUUCGCACUAUAUUACCUAGAGGGAAAUCUGGCGCUGCUGCGCUGUGGUAUGCAUGGGAAUGUCGGUAUAUUGUGACUUCGGAUUUACAUCAUUAUCAAAGAGCCAGGACACCUUGAAGACGCGCCUGGCAAGCACCGUUCCGUAUGUCACAAUGACUCAUUUUCUACUAAAACAGCACGUAAAAAGCUGUUUUAGCUUUAUUAUUAUACACAAAAACAUGUUUUGUUUAACUAUGAAAACUUGUUAUUGCAUGUAUUGCAUUAUUGCAUACGUAAGAAGUAUCAGCGGGCCGCUAGGUUAGGAGAACAGACGACAAGAUCCACGCUUGCUUUGAAACAGUUUGUCAUUUGUUCGUGCUUUUCUUCGCUUGGUCAGGCAUUGUAGGUGAGUAAAGAUGUAAUGUAUGCGAAUUUAAACAUUUUAUGAAGACUUUACUUUAAGAACGUAUUAUUUGUGUAGCCAUAUCUACGUUCUGGACGAAGCCUCUCACAACACCAGCCAACACGAGCCUCGCAGACACAUAUACCAUCAUUCCCAUGACGGCAUGGCACUCCUUAAGAAACUCCUAUAGACGGUGGCGCCAGAUUUCCCUCUAGAUGAGUGGUUCUUUAUUCUAUGCUAUAGUCGUAUAUAGGUGUUUUGUGCUAUAGAGGCCCCGCACACUCUCAAGUUCCAGCGAUCGCCACAGAGGGCGAAAAAUCAACCGCGGCACAUUCCAGCAUAAGUGUGCAAGUAGAGCUACUGUAAUUUGGUCGCAUUCUUCAAUUUGCAUUUUUUCUGCUAGGGGCACUCAACGUGGCUGGAUCUAUAUUGGAUCUAUAAUCUUGGAUCGAUAUUGGAUCUAUAAAUGUACAUAUGGUAACCGUCAAACAUAGUUAAUGUGCAAGUUUUUGCAAAAUAAACAGACAAUUCUUUUUAAUAAACCUACAUUAUUAGAACCUGUGUUUUAUUACUUGAAUAAAGGUUUUCAGACUUCA